UGCGCAGGCGGAUCUGUAAGUCAGAGGUGAAAUCUCACAGCUUAACUGUGAAACUGCCUUUGAUACUGCAGAUCUUGAGUUCGGGAGAGGUUGAUGGAAUUCCAGGUGUAGCGGUGAAAUGCGUAGAUAUCUGGAAGAACACCAGUGGCGAAGGCGGUCAACUGGCCCGUAACUGACGCUCAGGCACGAAAGCGUGGGUAGCAAACAGGAUUAGAUACCCUGGUAGUCCACGCCCUAAACGAUGAAUACUUGGUGUUGGUCUUAAUUGAUCAGUGCCGUAGGUAACCUGUUAAGUAUUCCACCUGGGGAGUACGCUCGCAAGAGUGAA
rnacentral:rRNA from 1 species